UCCUGUAAGAUUACCGAAGUUAAGCAAUAUCGAGCCUGGUUAGUACCUAGAUGGGUGACCGCUUACGAAUACCAGGUGCUGUCAG